rnacentral:rRNA from 1 species
UGGGGAAUAUUGCACAAUGGGCGCAAGCCUGAUGCAGCCAUGCCGCGUGUAUGAAGAAGGCCUUCGGGUUGUAAAGUACUUUCAGCGGGGAGGAAGGGAGUAAAGUUAAUACCUUUGCUCAUUGACGUUACCCGCAGAAGAAGCACCGGCUAACUCCGUGCCAGCAGCCGCGGUAAUACGGAGGGUGCAAGCGUUAAUCGGAAUUACUGGGCGUAAAGCGCACGCAGGCGGUUGAUUGAGUCAGAUGUGAAAUCCCCGGGCUUAACCCGGGAAUUGCAUCUGAUACUGGUCAGCUAGAGUCUUGUAGAGGGGGGUAGAAUUCCAUGUGUAGCGGUGAAAUGCGUAGAGAUGUGGAGGAAUACCGGUGGCGAAGGCGGCCCCCUGGACAAAGACUGACGCUCAGGUGAGAAAGCGUGGGGAGCAAACAGG